rnacentral:rRNA from 1 species
UACCGGGCGACCGGAUGCGGAUCUCGAAAGCCUGUCCCAGUUCGGACUGGAGUCUGCAACUCGACUCCAUGAAGCUGGAUUCGCUAGUAAUCGCGCAUCAGCCAUGGCGCGGUGAAUACGUUCCCGGGCCUUGUACACACCGCCCGUCACACCAUGAGAGUUGGGAAUACCCGAAGCCUGUGAGCUAACUUUUAGAGGCAGCAGUCGAAGGUAGAAUCAAUGAUUGGGGUGAAGUCGUAACAAGGUAUC